rnacentral:rRNA from 1 species
GAUGAACGCUGGCGGCGUGCCUAAUACAUGCAAGUCGAGCGAACAGACGAGGAGCUUGCUCCUCUGACGUUAGCGGCGGACGGGUGAGUAACAUGUGGAUAACCUACCUAUAAGACUGGGAUAACUUCGGGAAACCGGAGCUAAUACCGGAUAAUAUAUUGAACCGCAUGGUUCAAUAGUGAAAGACGGUUUUGCUGUCACUUAUAGAUGGAUCCGCGCCGCAUUAGCUAGUUGGUAAGGUAACGGCUUACCAAGGCAACGAUGCGUAGCCGACCUGAGAGGGUGAUCGGGCACACUGGAACUGAGGCACGGUCCAGACUCCUACGGGAGGCAGCAGUAGGGAAUCUUCCGCGAUGGGGGAAAGCCUGACGGAGCAACGCCGCGUGAGUGAUGAAGGUCUUCGGAUCGUAAAACUCUGUUAUUAGGGAAGAACAAAUGUGUAAGUAACUGUGCACGUCUUGACGGUACCUGAUCAGAAAGCCACGGCUAACUACGUG